GUUACAAGGCUGAACCAUAGGUGUGAGGGGGCUGUGUGUCACAACUCGGGCCGCGAUUUGCCCGAGGUGAGUCACAGAAAUCAUGACGAAAAGAUUGUUUCCAUCGUAAACCGAGCGUUUUUUUGUUUUGUUUUGCUGUUGCCCUGAAAUAUAGCUUAGAGCAGCGUUUUUCAGUUUCCUGAUCGCCUUCCAUGAAUGAGCCCGCGGGUGUGCUGUGCGCAACGGUCCCAGUCCCCCGUGAUGAGAGCUGAGAAAGCGUGCUGCUUGCGUGAGCCUGGGAGAGACUCCAACCGUCAUCUGGAAGUCAUAAAAGCCCCUUUUGAAAACAUUUGAUGUCACUGUAACACAUAUUCAGAAACCAAAGGGAGAAAGAUGUCUUGGAAGAACCUGGUUAGAUCUGACCAUUUUCAAUGUAUGGAGUCGAAGAAGAUGGAAAGAUUUCACCAGUUUCCAGGGCUUCUCUCCCAGUGAUAACGUGUGUUCCACGGCUUAUUAAUCCCAAGUGUUCCAAGCUUGACAACUUGCGGGGCAGAGGGUGCCAAUAUUUCUUAGCUUAAAAUAGCCUUUAGUAUAAAAUAAAUUCCUCUGAUUGCUGUUAUACACCAUAGAUGAAGUCAGAUGAGAUAAGCUUAGUAUUUACAAAAAUAAAAAAUAAAAAAUAUUUCAGAAAUAC